UGGUGGAGAGAUGGAAUGCUCAGUGGAGCUCCAGGCUUACAGUCUACAGCUCCCAAAGUGCGCUACGGGACCCUUGGAACCCAACUGUGAACUCAGCAUGCCAAGAAUCCAGAUUGCGUGCUCCUUAUGAGAACCUAAUGCCUGAUGAUCUGUGACUAUCUCCCAUCACCUCCCGAUGGGGCCAUGUAGUUGCAGGAAAACAAGCUCAGGGCUCCCACUGAUUCUAUAUUCUGGUGAGUUGUGUAAUUAUUUCAUUAUAUAUUACAGUGAAAUAAUCAUAGAAAUAAAGCACACAAUAAAUGUAAUGGGCUUGAAUCAUCUCUGCAUCAUCCCUUCCCCUUCUCCCAGGUCCGUGGAAGAGUUGUCUUCAAGAAAACUGCUCUCUGGUGCCAAAAAGUUUGGGGACCACUGGUGAAAAUGUUUCUAAGAAUAGUCAAGCAACUUAAGCUUUACAUGCUACGAAGUAUACAGCUUUAAAUGCUAAUAAAAAUAGGUGAAAAUGAAAACAC